GCAGUCGAACGAACUCUGGUAUUGAUUGGUGCUUGCAUCAUGAUUUACAUUUGAGUGAGUGGCGAACUGGUGAGUAACACGUGGGAAACCUGCCCAGAAGCGGGGGAUAACACCUGGAAACAGAUGCUAAUACCGCAUAACAACUUGGACCGCAUGGUCCGAGUUUGAAAGAUGGCUUCGGCUAUCACUUUUGGAUGGUCCCGCGGCGUAUUAGCUAGAUGGUGAGGUAACGGCUCACCAUGGCAAUGAUACGUAGCCGACCUGAGAGGGUAAUCGGCCACAUUGGGACUGAGACACGGCCCAAACUCCUACGGGAGGCAGCAGUAGGGAAUCUUCCACAAUGGACGAAAGUCUGAUGGAGCAACGCCGCGUGAGUGAAGAAGGGUUUCGGCUCGUAAAACUCUGUUGUUAAAGAAGAACAUAUCUGAGAGUAACUGUUCAGGUAUUGACGGUAUUUAACCAGAAAGCCACGGCUAACUACGUGCCAGCAGCCGCGGUAAUACGUAGGUGGCAAGCGUUGUCCGGAUUUAUUGGGCGUAAAGCGAGCGCAGGCGGUUUUUUAAGUCUGAUGUGAAAGCCUUCGGCUCAACCGAAGAAGUGCAUCGGAAACUGGGAAACUUGAGUGCAGAAGAGGACAGUGGAACUCCAUGUGUAGCGGUGAAAUGCGUAGAUAUAUGGAAGAACACCAGUGGCGAAGGCGGCUGUCUGGUCUGUAACUGACGCUGAGGCUCGAAAGUAUGGGUAGCAAACAGGAUUAGAUACCCUGGUAGUCCAUACCGUAAACGAUGAAUGCUAAGUGUUGGAGGGUUUCCGCCCUUCAGUGCUGCAGCUAACGCAUUAAGCAUUCCGCCUGGGGAGUACGGCCGCAAGGCUGAAACUCAAAGGAAUUGACGGGGGCCCGCACAAGCGGUGGAGCAUGUGGUUUAAUUCGAAGCUACGCGAAGAACCUUACCAGGUCUUGACAUACUAUGCAAAUCUAAGAGAUUAGACGUUCCCUUCGGGGACAUGGAUACAGGUGGUGCAUGGUUGUCGUCAGCUCGUGUCGUGAGAUGUUGGGUUAAGUCCCGCAACGAGCGCAACCCUUAUUAUCAGUUGCCAGCAUUAAGUUGGGCACUCUGGUGAGACUGCCGGUGACAAACCGGAGGAAGGUGGGGAUGACGUCAAAUCAUCAUGCCCCUUAUGACCUGGGCUACACACGUGCUACAAUGGAUGGUACAACGAGUUGCGAACUCGCGAGAGUAAGCUAAUCUCUUAAAGCCAUUCUCAGUUCGGAUUGUAGGCUGCAACUCGCCUACAUGAAGUCGGAAUCGCUAGUAAUCGCGGAUCAGCAUGCCGCGGUGAAUACGUUCCCGGGCCUUGUACACACCGCCCGUCACACCAUGAGAGUUUGUAACACCCAAAGUCGGUGGGGAACCUUUUAGGAACCAGC
rnacentral:rRNA from 2 species